CUUUGCCUUUUCUUUGCCCAAAUCUGAAGCCAGAACAAGAAAGUGGGCAUCUAGGACUGCUUCUCUUGCUCGGGACACUAUUCAAAAAAGAAGAAAAAGACACACGUUACAACAUACAUGUUUAUCCACAGGCAUUUUCCCAAAACUUUCAAUUGCACUUACUCCCCAUUUCCCAUUGGACCAAAAAAAAGUCUCAAACAUACUCAUCUCUGUCUAAAAACAGGUUCCCCUGCUCAGCUCACCAAAAUCUGAAAUCAAAGCUGACCAGUCUUCCUAAAAAGUCAGCUCUCUCUACCACACUGUUCCUGCUCCUGGGAACUAAAUAAAAAUCUCUUCAUUAACCGCAGUUUAACAAAACCUCCACCAUCUCUAACACUGGCUGUUCCCUUGGACUCCAGUAACUCAUCUAGGCACUAUUAACACCUGUGUUGAUGAUGGAAGCCAAGCUGAAUGCCCACGGUGUGUAAGGCGCUGUGCUUGGGCACGGAUGUUCGCAGACCGGUAAUAGUUUUAUUUCAGGAGAAUUACUGUGAAUGUGACAAUGAACGAGAGAAAAGGCAGAAGCUAAGGAGUAGUUCCUCGGCUGUUCUAGACCUCUCCUCCCCACCGCUGGCCCGUCCCUGCCAUGCAAACUGUGAGAAAAGUGCCAAUCUCCCACGGAUGGAUUCAAGCCUCUGGAGAGUUACAGAACAUCCAAUCUGUAUAUAUGGCAGAUACAGAAUUCUUUGUUGGCUGACCGUCUCCUAGGGCCAGGUUGAGUGAGUAACCGUGCCUUAAAGAGGUGACCCAGCCAGCACAGUGGAAUCAGCCAAGCAGGAAAUGAUCCGUUAAUCAACAACUUUACAGCGGUGGGUGAAUAAUAAUAAGGGGACAAGGGGUCAAGAGCAACCCUGAAGAGACAGCCUGGGGGUCCAAGCUCAGAAGAGAAGAAAAAGCUAGAGAGAGUGGAGGAGGGGUUGCGCCAGAUGGAAAGAAAGAAAUGUUCUGGUCCUCAGAGAACACGUGGAGUGGUGGUGUCCACUCUGUUGACUUCUCCACCUGCAUGGGUCUGCACUCUCCCUUUCUGCUCCCACAGAAUUUAGAGAAAGGCCAGGAGGGAAAAGUGGGCUGAGGACUUGUCCCGGGCUCGGUGACCCAGUGCCCACACCAUCAGGGGCAUGCCGGACCUGUCCUGUCUUCAAACACAGAGACCGCUCGUAGCACUAACACUGCUGCUGCUUUUCAUUCAAACCAAGCUUUUAUUUCAGAGCCCCCUUCGCCCCCCACAGUGGUCUAGAGAUCAGAGCUGAGACUCUUCUCUCUCUUUCUCGGGCCCCUCCCCUCACUGGAGACAGCAGGGCCACUUGUAGACAGGGCCAUCCCCACUGGGUUACACCAGGUGGACCAAGAGCAAGGAGCUUAGGGACGGAGGUCGGGAGGAAGGCAGGAAAAGAAACAGGAUGUCAGAAGCCAGCUCAGUUCUUUCUUUAAUACAUCCAAUGCAUCCUGGGUAGUCAAUAGGGUAGAAAGAUAAGACAUCAAAGUUCUCAGCAGUCAAUACAGUAGAAAGAUAAUACCCAGAAGGUUCUCAAACUUGAACAAGCCACCGAAUCACCUGUGGCGCUUGUUAAAACUGGCUGCUGCUCCCCACCCCCAUCCCAAACUUCACGUAAAGCCCUUCCUACCUGCUUUGGGGCUGAUAAGUGCACCAUGAAAGUAGUAGUGGUGCUACAAGGAAAAAGAUUCCAAAACUAGUAAAGCACUCUUAUAAAUAAAUAUGGGGGUUGUUUGUGUCAAGCAUUCGGUUCUCAUGCAAAACUAAUUAAAAUUACCCUAAAAUAUAUGAUCACAGAAAGCUUCCUUUCAUGAAAUAAUGAAUUACCUCCAUUAAAGAGAUUGUUGGCCUCUUCAA